AAUAAUAGUCCUCCUGACCGGAUGAGCAGUGCAGGUGUGGCGGUAGCCCCUGCUCCUCCUCCAGAUGCUCCAGCGCACGGAUCUCCUCCAGUACGUCUGCCGCAGGUUCCUUCUGACGAUGCAAAUAUGAUCAGUAUCAAAGAUGCUCACCAGAAUGACCAGCCAUAGUCCCAUGUGUGAGGCCUCCAGUCUUCAGGUCCCAAGCUGACUGUAAUCUGGAACACUUGUGUGUACAUCAUGUGGGCCACCAUUCCCAGAAGACCUGUUGAGUAAUCCACAUGUCCAUGUGAGGUGGGGACAUGGGUGGAGGCCUACCUGACAGCACGGUGAAGACUGCGGCGAAGGCGUUCAGUUUGAGUCCAUCGAUCACAUUACUGGAGUGAAAAAGCUCCAGGCACAUCAGACUGAAGCCAACGACCAGCAGCAUGAUGUAUAGCACCUCAGACACAACUGACAGCCAAAGGACACCUGCAAUACACACACACAUACACAGGCACACUGGUGAGCAAAGCGCUCAGCUCCUGCUCCAUAAUUCUCUUUGCCGCUUUUAUUCACGCGAUUAGAUUCAAGUGGAAUUUUAGCAACUCGCCCCCUGCUAAUAAAACAGACAUGGGCUGGACAUAUUUCUGCAUAUCACAUGCACUGUAAAAGGUGUUUUUUUACUUUGCUUAAAAAAGUGAGUAAACCUGUUGCAGUUAAAGGGGACAAGCUGACUUUACCUAAAAAAACAAACUUUGUAACUUGGAAUUAUGUUGAUUAAACUUAAUUUUUAUAAUU
rnacentral:lncRNA from 1 species